GAAGCAUAUUCAGGUAACAUGUUCGUAAAUAGUCCACGACAUUUUUCAAUGAAAUAUUUUUAUCCCUAAAGUAUUAUUGAUGAAAGUAAUAAAUAUGUAGCUGCAUCGUUACGCUUGCAAAGGAUAUAAUACCAAAUUGCAAUACUUACUUAGAUCAGCCUGUAUGAUCGAAUAAAAGUUUACACACGUUUCUAAAUAAAAUUUCAGUAAUGUUUCCAAGAAGGCAAAAGAUUUGAAUACACUUGUACCGUAUUGGACACAGUAGCAAAGUCGAGGUAUACUAGCUGUUUCCCUUUAGCCAUAUAACAUUCGCACCACUGUUAUCACCGUAUUACAGGUUUUACGAAAUAACAGCUCAAGACUCGCGUAAUGCACGUGAACAUCGGCCCAACGGCCGACCAACGAUUCAAGGAGAACUAGUAUUUCAUUGAUAACUCACCCCGUGUCCCGACCUUUACGACCACCACACUGUACGUACACUGUUGCACGCGCAUACCCGCCAGGCAACGUCCAAUGAUUUGUGUAUCGACAGUCGUCAGUAUUAAUGCCAUUUGUGUGCAAUUAUGUUAGUUAUUAUGUCAAACAACUUACCUUUCGCGGCUCGUUUCAACACGUUUUCAGCAUUAUGGCAUUGCGACUUGAAAACGACACCAGAUACCCGAUGAAAUAGCUCGCGGCCAACAACACGAUUGCGUUGGGUUCCAGAUUGGAAUUAGAAGUUUGAUUUCCUUUUCCUAAAUCACAACCGUUAUUUCCACAUCUUAAAACAAGAAGCCACGAUGUUUUCCUUUUACAUUUUGAGAAUUGAUCUUCAUAAAUUAGAGACAAAGAUGUUGAAAUCCAUGGAAUUCGACACAGUGGGGACACACCUUAACGUUACAGCGUAUCCAAUAAUCGAAUAUCAUCAUCGACAGCGAUACACUGGUAUUUAUACCAUUCACGUUCCCAUUUCAUCAUCACUUAAUUAUUGGAGUUACUUGAUCGUGCUUGCCAUGCCGGUUGAAAUAGUAUUGAGAAGUAACGCUAGAUAACGCGCCUCUAUUGAUUUGUCAGUUGGGAUAAUGGAUUUCAAUGCAUAACACAGAAUCCCAUGGAACGCGAGCGUGUGGUUGCCAGCCACAGAUUAAUACGGCUAUCGCGGAACGACAGGUAUUCCAUAUGUAUCUGGUAUUUCGUAAAUGUUAAUAUAACUUGAUCGUAUCCCGAUGCGAAUGUAAAUGCACCGGACAUGGUGCAGUCUCUUAACCCUUAAAUGCAUACUGUCUCUAUUUGGCAUAUUUAAAUGGCCUUUCUUAUAUACAUACCGUGUAAUACUUAUUGCAUGGUGCUUUCGAAUGUAUUUAUUACUAUUUUAAUACUAUUAAUAUGUUCAUAAUAUAGCAAGAAAUUUAAAAAGUAUCUACUUGUCUUGAUACAAGGCAACUUGCGCUUUAUCAUAAAAGAAAGGAUAACGGUUAUAGUAAAAUUGCACAAGUAUUGGAAUUAAUUGUAGCAGAUCUUAGUAGAAGAUGCGAAGAAAAAUAUCUAGCGUGUAAUUAACGAUAGAGCUAACAAACUCGUCAAAAUGAUGGAUUUCAGGUUUUCUUUUUGUACACUUUGUGAUGUAGGUAUUUUAGCCAAAUUUAAUAUUGGUUUUUGUUUAUAUGGGAUCAGAAUUAUAUCGGUUUAUUUACUUUAAUUAAUAUCACUCAAAUUAUACUAAUUUAUAUAUAUGUAGAACACGUAGUGCAUAUUACAGACCGAUAAUUCUAACGUUAAACGUUACUCUUAGGAAGAAACUGUUUCCAUAUGUAUUUGUAAGCUACGACAAAUCUUCGGAAUAUUUAAUUUGAUCGUGUAUUCACCGUAUGUUAGUUUCUUCUCUCAAGUGUAUAAGAAUACCAAACAUAAAAUACACGUUAAAAAUUAUUUUUGUAUGACUGCAAUAUUGGCAAUUUUCUGUAUUUUAUAUUUGAGGAGAGUCAUGCAUUUAAGAGUUCAAAUUUCGCAUAACAUGUCAAUGUACCAAAUGAUCGGUCGUUUUAUGAUACAAUUUCAUGCGAUUGGGAUAUAAAGGAAUGGAGUUUUCGAUGAAUUCAACGCCGUUCAUUUCAACGAGUUAAAGAGGAAGCGAACGGGGUAACGCAACGCUGGGGAAUUACGUUAUAACAAGAUUAAUAGUUAACGGCUUUCUGAUCACGAAACAUUCGAUUUAUAUUACAAAUGCGAGUUACACGAUCGGAAUGUCGAUUCCAUGAAGUUGUUUCAUUCUUGUCAACGAAGGGUUGGAUUGGGUAUCCGUUUUCGCUGUAAUGCGGAACAGGAAGGCAACAUUCUAAUUAUAGUAUUAAAUAUCCUGAGAUACGUAAAACGCUUUCGCAUAUCGCUCGAGUAUCGUAUCAAAUUAUACCUCACAAUUACUGUAUUAACGGUAAUUAAUUGUCUACGGUGGUUAUACGUUUAAUAGGGUACGUGACCAUCGUCUACGUCUUAUUCUCAUCCACUCGUGUGCAGGUUUUGCGUUAUAAACGCAUUAAAGCCUAUUGAAAUUACUGAAUGAAGUAAGUUAAUGUACCACAAGGAACAAGGAAGGAACGUAAUUCAAAGCUUGCACGUUGAUCAUUCACCUCCGAGUUUCAUCAUAUUGAACUAUUCUUCAGUUGACAUAUUUGUGACUUUUCGGCUUUUCGUCGCGUUUUUAUAUCGUAUUUUGUUCUGGAAAUCCCAAUUCACUUCUUCAGUCUUCCCCAGUCCACCUGUAGAAUCACAAAUACAGCGGGGGAUAAAGAUAAAUUAUUUGGCAAACAAUUGAAAUUGCGAGCGAUUUAUUCAGCAAAUAAUACAUGCCAUAGCGGUUUAUUUAGCAAAUAAUACAUGCAAUAGCGGUUUAUCCAGAAAAUAAUAAACGAUACACGAGAUAUAAUUAAUGAAGGAAACUAUGGCCAAUACAACCUAGAACUUAAGCGUAACGUGUGACAGUAAUAUGCUGUUGAAGAACGUGCUCGACCACCCGACGACUGGUUACCAAAAAGAAAAUGACUAACUCAACGAAAUACACCUUACAUCAGCGUUCUACUUCUUAUCGCUAUUAUACCAUUUGUCAUAAACCAUUUAUUUACCGUAGA